rnacentral:antisense_RNA from 1 species
CUUCAGCGACCCCAGCCACAGCGGGCGGGCGCGGUCGUGGUCCUCCCCGUACGUGGCCAGCAGCGCCUCCGCCUC